rnacentral:rRNA from 1 species
UACGAAGGGGGCUAGCGUUGCUCGGAAUUACUGGGCGUAAAGGGCGCGUAGGCGGCCAGAUUAGUCAGGCGUGAAAGCCCUGGGCUCAACCUGGGGACUGCGCUUGAUACAGCACGUCUUGAGUCCGGAAGAGGUGGGUGGAAUUCCUAGUGUAGAGGUGAAAUUCGUAGAUAUUAGGAAGAACACCGGUGGCGAAGGCGGCCCACUGGUCCGGUACUGACGCUGAGGUGCGAAAGCGUGGGGAGCAAACAGG